CCUACGGGAGGCAGCAGUGAGGAAUAUUGGUCAAUGGACGAAAGUCUGAACCAGCCAAGUAGCGUGCAGGAUGACUGCCCUACGGGUUGUAAACUUCUUUUAUAUGGGAAUAACAUGUCUCACGUGUAGGACUUUGUAUGUACCAUAUGCAUAAGGACCGGCUAACUCCGUGCCAGCAGCCGCGGUAAUACGGAGGAUCCGAGCGUUAUCCGGAUUUAUUGGGUUUAAAGGGAGCGUAGGCGGCUUGUUAAGUCAGGUGUGAAAGUUUGCGGCUCAACCGUAAAAUUGCAGUUGAAACUGGCAGUCUUGAGUACAGGAGAGGGAGGCGGAAUUCGUGGUGUAGCGUUGAAAUGCUUAGAUAUGACGAAGAACGCCGAUUGCGAAGGCAGCUCACUGGAGUGGAACUGACACUGAGGCUCGAAAGUGUGGGUAUCAAACAGGAUUAGAUACCCGGGUAGUC
rnacentral:rRNA from 1 species